CGCACAUUGCGCCCGCCAGCAUUCUGGCGGGCAUGCCUGUUCGAGCGUCAUUUCAACCCUCAAGCACUGCUUGGCGUUGGGGCUCUACGGUCGACGUAGGCCCCUAAAGCUAGUGGCGGACCCUCCCGGAGCCUCCUUUGCGCAGUAACUUUCGUCUCGCACUGGGAUCCGGAGGGACUCUAGCCGUUAAACCCCCCAACUUUCCAAAGGUUGACCUCGGAUCAGGUAGGAAUACCCGCUGAACUUAA
rnacentral:misc_RNA from 1 species